UACGUAGGGUGCGAGCGUUGUCCGGAAUUAUUGGGCGUAAAGAGCUCGUAGGCGGUCUGUCGCGUCGGAUGUGAAAAUCAGGGCUCAACCCUGGACCUGCAUUCGAUACGGGCAGACUAGAGUUCGGCAGGGGAGACUGGAAUUCCUGGUGGUAGCGGUGAAAUGCGCAGAUAUCAGGAGGAACACCGGUGGCGAAGGCG
rnacentral:rRNA from 1 species